rnacentral:lncRNA from 1 species
CAUAUUUAUGUUUAUUUAUUUUCCCUUUUGUACUUUAACUAUUUGCACAUCGUUACAACACUGGAUAUAGACAUAAUAUGACAUUUGAAAUGCCUUUAUUCUUUUGGAACUUCUGUGAGUGUAAUGUUUACUGUUAAUUUGUAUUGUUAAUUUCACUUUUGUUUAUUAUCGACUUCACUUGCUUUGGCAAUGUUAACAUAUGUUUCCCAUGCCAAUAAAGCCCUUAAAUUGAAAUUAAAAUUGAGAGCGAGAGAGCAGAGAGAGAGAGAGAAGAGAGAGCAGAGGUAGAGAGAGAGCAGAGAGAGAGAAGAGAGAGAGCAGAGAAAAAGAGAGAGAGCAGAGAGAGCAGAGAGAGAGAAGAGAGAGAAGAGAGAGCAGAGAGAGAGAGGUAGAGAAUGAAGUUGGCAUUUUGUGGUCUUUUUCUUUGCAACCCGCCUGUUGGCUUCAUCAGUCAGACUGACCUACAUCUUCCCUUCCAUAGUCUCACUUGUCUUAUAAAUAGCACGUAUUGCCAACAGAUUAACGAGAAGGAAGGUAAAACAAAAUGACAUCAAUGCUUCAGCAAAACCAUGCAUCUGCACUGCACACAACCAUCUUGUCACGUCCUGACCAGUAAAGGGGUAAUUUGUAAUUGUAGUAUGGUCAGGGCGUGGCAGGGGGUGUUUGUUUUGUGUUUUUUUUUUUUUUUUGGUUGUAGGGGAUUUUGGUUCUAGUUUUCUAUUUCUAUGUUUCCUUUUCCAUGUUUGGCCGAGUAUGGUUUCCAAUCAGAGGCAGGUGUUUUUCGUUGUCUCUGAUUGGAAGCCAUACUUAGGCAGCCUGUUUUUUCCUUUGGGUUGGUGGGUGGUUGUUUUCUGUAUAGUCUGUGUACCUUGCAGAACUGUUGAUUGUCAGUUUGUUGUUUUGUUUAAGUGUUCACUUUAUUAAUAUUAAAAGAAGAUGAGCACUAUACCCGCUGCGUUUUGGUCACCUUUCAUCGACGUCUGUGACACAUCUCAUAGAGCUUAAUGGACAUUUGUUUUGGCAUAACUCCCAAAUAUCUUCCCUGAGGGACCCC